rnacentral:rRNA from 1 species
UCCUACGGGAGGCAGCAGUGGGGAAUAUUGCACAAUGGGCGCAAGCCUGAUGCAGCAACGCCGCGUGAGGGACGAAGGCCUUCGGGUUGUAAACCUCUUUUAGUAGGGAAGAAGCGACUGGGUUUUCCUGGGAGUGACGGUACCUGCAGAAAAAGCACCGGCUAACUACGUGCCAGCAGCCGCGGUAAUACGUAGGGUGCAAGCGUUGUCCGGAAUUAUUGGGCGUAAAGAGCUCGUAGGCGGUUUGUCGCGUCUGCUGUGAAAACCCGAGGCUCAACCUCGGGCCUGCGGUGGGUACGGGCAGACUAGAGUGCGGUAGGGGAGAUUGGAAUUCCUGGUGUAGCGGUGGAAUGCGCAGAUAUCAGGAGGAACACCAAUGGCGAAGGCAGAUCUCUGGGCCGUAACUGACGCUCAGGAGCGAAAGCAUGGGGAGCGAACAGGAUUAGAUACCCUGGUAGUCCAUGCCGUAAACGUUGGGAACUAGAUGUGGGGACCAUUCCACGGUCUCCGUGUCGCAGCUAACGCAUUAAGUUCCCCGCCUGGGGAGUACGGCCGCAAGGCUAAAACUCAAAGGAAUUGACGGGGGCCCGCACAAGCGGCGGAGCAUGCGGAUUAAUUCGAUGCAACGCGAAGAACCUUACCAAGGCUUGACAUAUACCGGAAACGGCUGGAAACAGUCGCCCCGCAAGGUCGGUAUACAGGUGGUGCAUGGUUGUCGUCAGCUCGUGUCGUGAGAUGUUGGGUUAAGUCCCGCAACGAGCGCAACCCUCGUCCUAUGUUGCCAGCACGUAAUGGUGGGAACUCAUGGGAUACUGCCGGGGUCAACUCGGAGGAAGGUGGGGAUGACGUCAAAUCAUCAUGCCCCUUAUGUCUUGGGCUUCACGCCUGCUACAAUGGCCGGUACAAAGGGCUGCGAUACCGCAAGGUGGAGCGAAUCCCAAAAAGCCGGUCUCAGUUCGGAUUGAGGUCUGCAACUCGACCUCAUGAAGUCGGAGUCGCUAGUAAUCGCAGAUCAGCAACGCUGCGGUGAAUACGUUCCCGGGCCUUGUACACACCGCC